UACGGAGGGGGGCUAGCGUUGUUCGGAAUUACUGGGCGUAAAGCGCGCGUAGGCGGCUUUGUAAGUUAGAGGUGAAAGCCCGGAGCUCAACUCCGGAACUGCCUUUAAGACUGCAUCGCUAGAAUUGUGGAGAGGUGAGUGGAAUUCCGAGUGUAGAGGUGAAAUUCGUAGAUAUUCGGAAGAACACCAGUGGCGAAGGCGACUCACUGGACACAUAUUGACGCUGAGGCUCGAAGGCCAGGGUAGCGAAAGGG
rnacentral:rRNA from 1 species